CCCAGCCGUCAGCUGGUGGGUUGGUCAAAGCCCAAAAGGAGACCUGCUGCACCAGGUUGCCGCGCGCCCCACCUCGCCGCCUGCAGUUCCCCCGGCGGCCGCCAGCUGGCGCUGCGCGCUCCCGGGGCGUCUGGCCCGCCCCGGCCCCGGCCCCCGCCCGGCCGCCACGUCAGCGUCACUCGGGGCCAAGUGGGCGUGCGGACCGCGCCGCGGGCUGGACCCCUUCGCGGGUGUGCGGGCGCGGGCGGCCGCGCUCCUGCGUGGUCCCGCCUCCGCUGCUGAGGAGGCGUGGCUCUCCCGGAGCCCGUGAGGCUGGCGGGCUGGCGCUCGCGCCUGGACGGGCUGCCCUCCCGCCGCCCCUCGCUGCGCGUCAGAGCUCCGGGCGAGCGAGCGAGUGGGAGGUGAGGGCACUAAAACAGCAGGAGUUACCUGCCCCACGUCCUGAAGCAGCGUUCCAAACACUAGCCUCAGGGGAGACGCUCAGUACUUGUUCAACUAAUGAACCAGUGAGCGUGUGGCUUGGGUCCUGUACUAAGUGUUUGCGUUUAUGGCUAUGUGGAAGCUCUCUGCUGUGGCCUGGGAAAGCAGUAGAAGAUGCCCAAGUGCUUGGGCCCCUGCACCCACGUGGGAGACCCGGAAGAAGUUCCUGGCUCUUGGCUUUGGGUCAGUGCAGCUCCAGCCGUUGCGGCCGCUCGGGGAAUGAACCAACAGACGGAAGACCCUUCUCUCUGUCUCUCCCUCUCACUGUAACUCUCUCAAAUAAAUAAAUAAAAUCAAAAUUAAAAAAAAGAAAAUGUUUAAAACAGACUUCAGUGGUCAGUUCACUCCUACAAAUCAAGCUCACUCUCCUAAGAUUUUUGUUUGGAAGCAGAAAAUUCAAGAAAACAUAAUUAAAGUUGAUCGUUACAGUAAAUCCUAACAGUAUCUUCAGAGAAAAGCCACAGACCCAGCCACUGGCACACCGUGGCCCAGAGGCUCUCAGGAGCGCUGCGUUAAUAAGAGCAAGGCUUUUGCAGAGGCAAAUCCUAUGGGGCGGAGUCCUUCCUCCGGGACACUCGAAAUGGGGGGAAAUGGGUGGGUGCACAGCAUUUUGUUAUUGAUUUUUAAACGUCUAAUUUAGUACACUCUGAACACGGCUUAAUAUGCAUACUUAACUGAAGCUGUGUUUUGACUCAGUGUUUAGCGAAAUGAAAAUGGCAAUCCUGAUAAAACAGCCUACAGAGACCAUCAAGCUGGAACGAGGUGAGCUUCAGAACCAGCGAGCCACCUGGAGGGCCACGGCCCCGCACCGAGGGAGACACGGCUGCAUCCGUGACUGGCAGCUCUGCCGCGUCUGCCACAGGCAGUGUUCUCCCCGCUGACCGGUGCACAACGCCGCCAACCAUCCCAGGACGGAUCUGUACUUCCCAGCACACGGAAGCAGCCUGGUGCUUCUGUCUUGACGUCUCGAAGUGGGAUCCACCUCAGUGGAUACUGCUCGGGAUGCCCUCAGCCCGUAAGAGUCCUAGCUUUGAGUCCUGGCUCUGCUUCCGACUCCAGCUCCUGCCGGUGCGUGCCCUGGGCAGCAGCACUGGGACCCUGCCAACUACGUGGGAGACCCAGAGUUCUGGGCUCCUGGUCUGCCCAGCCCCUGGCUGUGGUAAGCAUCAGGAGAGUAAAGUGUCUCUCAAACACGUCCCUGCCUUUUUAAUCCCAUCCCAGAUAGAAAGGAGCACUGAGCCACCUCGCCUCAGGCACGGUUUUGUCCCUGCUCUGUCAUGCAAGCCAAGGUCUUUCCCUGUGACUGUGCCCCACACCAGCUGGCAAAGGACCUGGCAACAGGCCUCCACCGGCACUCCGUUGGCUCCCUCAGAUUGGCACUCUUGGAAGGAUGUUUGCACAAAGGAGCCUUCGCAUGGCUCCACUUCACCCUAGAAGCUGGAGUUAACGAUCAAAAAAACCUAGUUUUCUGGGGCAGGCGUUCAGCAUGGGUCGCCUAGAUACCAUCUCAGAGUGUCUGCACACCACACCGGGUGCCUGGGCUUGAGGGCUGGCUCUGCCUCCAGUUCUUGCCUUCUGCUCACGAGUGCCCUGCGACUUGAGUCCCUGCCACCCAUGUGGACACCUGGAUUAAAUUCUGGACUCCUGGCUUCAGCCUGGCCCAGCCCUCGUUAUUGCAGGUCUCCCGUGGGGAUGGCAAGGGCCCGCGUACUUGAGCCGUCACUGCUGCCUCCCAGGGAGCGCUAAAUCAGCAGGAAGCUGGAUCAGAAGCAGAGGCAUCCCCUUGGACUGUGAUCGCGCCUGAAACAGGACCUCGUAUUGUGUUCCUGCGUCAUCCAAAUAAAAUGAUGUCCACGCAAGUCCCACUGGACCCCCAUCCGAGGUAAGUGAGCCACCUGCUGUUGGGCAACAGGGGCUAGUAUUUAGAAUACCAAAAGGCAGUCAAGGUAUUUACUGCGCUUUGAAUUCUGAGCUCUGUCUGCCUAUGGCAACAAACACACAGUCAAGGAAAAGAACUUAAGUAUUAGUGUUAUGCCCUGAACUUUUAUUUUUUAAACUUGUUUUGGUAAUAGAGGAAGAGAAAAUGGUUACUGUGUUGAUUUCUUUAUGACAGACGAGGCCAGAUAAAACUACACAAACUGGUCAAUAUGAUUUUAUUUUAGUAUUUACUAAAGUUUUAAAUAUACUCAUGUAAAAAACAAACAUUUCAAAAGUGCAAAAUAUUAGAAAGCUCAUCAGUGCUAUUAAUUUUUCAUGCAAACAAUCUGUUUUGUUGAAAUAAGCCAUAGUAAUUCUGCAACUGGGAAUACAUAGAAAACGAUGCUGUACUAGGGUUUAAAAACAGGAUUGGUCAAGAGAUUGCACAUGAUACGGGUGAAGCAGUGCAAAUAUCUGCCUAAAUCAAGGAUUCGGGCAAGCUGACUGCCAUGUGUAGUUACAUACAGCCGUGAUGUUACCGCAGGUGAUGGAGGAGAUGCAAGGCCCCCUCCCCACAGGACAGACAUUGCUUAGUGCCCGCUAUCCAGGACAUGCUGUCGUCUUUGGUUACAGGGACUCGCUGUUGCCUGUCCUUUGGUUUACUCCUAAACAGUACCUAUUCUGCUUAUGUGAAGUCAGCAAAUCUGAAGAGAGCAACUCAGAACAGAAUCUUCCCCUUUCGUAUAUAAUGGAUGCUACUUCAUUCCCAGUGACUUCAGGAUCCCGCGUGUCUCAGCAUCCGUCUAAGCAGAUGACAGGGAAGGGCCCGUCUCCUGUAUCGUAAGCUUACCUCUGUGGUCUCCAAGGUGACGGGAAUUAGCCUUCCUCUCUCUCCAGAAAGGGAUAGAGCCCACUGCUAUUUAAGGGCUGGCUUCAGUGAAUAUUAAAUGACAGUGCUUUGGAAAUCAUGAUACAUUUACAAAACAACACA